rnacentral:rRNA from 1 species
GACGAACGCUGGCGGCGUGCCUAACACAUGCAAGUCGAGCGGAGUCGAUCGACGGAAGCCUUCGGGCGGAAGAUGGUUGACUUAGCGGCGGAUGGGUGAGUAACGCGUGGGCAACCUGCCUCGAAGACCGGGAUAACAGCCCGAAAGGGCUGCUAAUACCGGAUGUGGUCAAGGAUCCGCAUGGAUUUUUGAUUAAAGGGGAAACCCGUUUCGAGAUGGGCCCGCGUCCUAUCAGCUAGUUGGUGAGGUAAAAGCUCACCAAGGCGACGACGGGUAGCCGGCCUGAGAGGGUGACCGGCCACACUGGAACUGAGACACGGUCCAGACUCCUACGGGGGGCAGCAGUGGGGAAUCUUCCACAAUGGGCGAAAGCCUGAUGGAGCGACGCCGCGUGAGCGAAGAAGGCCUUCGGUUGUAAAGCUCUGUCUGGAGGGACGAAGGAAGUGACGGUACCUCCGGAGGAAGCCACGGCUAACUACGUGCCAGCAGCCGCGGUAAGUCACGAGAGUA